rnacentral:rRNA from 1 species
GUAGUUAGCCGGGGCUUCCUCCUUGACUACCGUCACUUUCUUCGUUGCCAAGGACAGAGGUUUACAACCCGAAAGCCUUCUUCCCUCACGCGGCGUUGCUGGGUCAGGCUUGCGCCCAUUGCCCAAUAUUCCCCACUGCUGCCUCCCGCAGGAGUCUGGACCGUAUCUCAGUUCCAGUGUGGCCGAUCAGCCUCUCAGCUCGGCUACCCAUCGUCGACUUGGUGGGCCGUUACCCCGCAACUAUCUAAUGGGACGCGAACCCCUCUUAUACCGGAUUGCUCCUUUGACCUCAUCCCGAUGUCGGGUCGUGGUCUUAUGCGGUAUUAGCAACCGUUUCCGGUUGUUAUCCCCCUGUAUAAGGCAGGUUGUUCACGCGUUACUCACCCGUUCGCCACUAAGUUAUCAACCGAAAUCAAUAACUCCGUUCGACUUGCAUGUGUUAGGCACGCCGCCAGCGUUCGUCCUGAGCCAGAAUCAAACCUCUACGA